rnacentral:rRNA from 1 species
UAGGGAAUCUUCGGCAAUGGGGGGAACCCUGACCGAGCAACGCCGCGUGAGUGAAGAAGGUUUUCGGAUCGUAAAGCUCUGUUGUUAAGGAAGAACGAGUGUGAGAAUGGAAAGUUCAUGCUGUGACGGUACUUAACCAGAAAGGGACGGCUAACUACGUGCCAGCAGCCGCGGUAAUACGUAGGUCCCGAGCGUUGUCCGGAUUUAUUGGGCGUAAAGCGAGCGCAGGCGGUUAGAAAAGUCUGAAGUGAAAGGCAGUGGCUCAACCAUUGUAGGCUUUGGAAACUGUUUAACUUGAGUGCAGAAGGGGAGAGUGGAAUUCCAUGUGUAGCGGUGAAAUGCGUAGAUAUAUGGAGGAACACCGGUGGCGAAAGCGACUCUCUGGUCUGUAACUGACGAUGAGGCUCGAAAGCGUGGGGAGCGAACAGG